GAAGAGUUGCGAACGGGUGAGUAACGCGUAGGUAACCUGCCUAUUAGUGGGGGAUAACUAUUGGAAACGAWAGCUAAUACCGCAUAAUAGUGUUUAACACAUGUUAGAGACUUAAAAGAUGCAAUUGCAUCACUAGUAGAUGGACCUGCGUUGUAUUAGCUAGUUGGUGGGGUAACGGCCUACCAAGGCGACGAUACAUAGCCGACCUGAGAGGGUGAUCGGCCWCMCUGGGACUGAKACACGGCCCAGACUCCUACGGGAGGCAGCAGUAGGGAAUCUUCGGCAAUGGGGGCAACCCUGACCGAGCMACGCCGCGUGAGUGAAGAASGUUUUCGGA
rnacentral:rRNA from 1 species